GGAAUCUUGCGCAAUGGGCGAAAGCCUGACGCAGCAACGCCGCGUGCGGGAAGAAGGCUUUCGGGCUGUAAACCGCUUUCAGUAGGAACGAAACUGACGGUACCUACAGAAGAAGGAGCGGCCAACUAUGUGCCAGCAGCCGCGGUGACACAUAGGCUCCAAGCGUUGUCCGGAUUUAUUGGGCGUAAAGAGCUCGUAGGCGGUUGAGUAAGUCGGGUGUGAAAACUUUGGGCUUAACCCAAAGAUGCCACUCGAUACUGCUUUGACUUGAGUUCGGUAGGGGAGUGGGGAAUUCCUUGUGUAGCGGUGGAAUGCGCAGAUAUAAGGAGGAACACCGGUGGCGAAGGCGCCACUCUGGGCCGAUACUGACGCUGAGGAGCGAAAGCGUGGGGAGCAAACAGGAUUAGAUACCCUGGUAGUCCACGCGGUAAACGGUGGUCACUAGGUGUGGGUCUCUUCAAACGAGAUCUGCGCCGUCGCUAACGCAUUAAGUGACCCGCCUGGGGAGUACGGUCGCAAGACUAAAACUCAAAGGAAUUGACGG
rnacentral:rRNA from 1 species